CUACUUGCAAUUGCAAACAGAUCGGUAUCAAAUAUAAUAAUUUGAUCGACCAGCAACUGGAAUUCGUCAACGUAUCUUGUGCUUUGGCCACUAGUUGAUCAUACACUAUUACAUCAAUCGGUUUACUAGGUCAAGAAAUGGAAUAUGUACAGCAUUGCGCAUAUAAAAGGACAUUGAUCAAAAACAAAUUAAUCCGUGUCUUGUUUCCCAAAGUACAACAAUGUCAGGGAUUUUCAAGCAAUUCCUGGUUCCACUGCUUGCUGGUUUUGCUCUUAUGCUCUUAGUUCAUGCGCAGGAUCAAACAGGCUUCAUCAGCAUAGAUUGCGGCCUUGCGGAGAAUUCCACCUAUUCUGAAAAGAAAACAACCAUCGACUACAUUUCAGAUGCAACCUUCAUAGACACUGGUGAAAGAAAGUUGGUAUUGCCUGAAAACAGAAACGGCUACCAACAGCCUUACUGGUCUCUUAGGAGUUUUCCUCAAGGAACCAGGAACUGCUACAAAAUAAAUGUUAAAAGUGGCACCAGAUACUUGAUCAGAGCCAGUUUCUUUU